UUUUGCCUUGCUCAGUCGGUGGAGCAUGAGACUCUGUAAUUUCAGGGUUGUGGGUUCGAGCCCCACAUCGGGCAAAAG